UCCCUGGUUGAUCCUGCCAGUAGUCAUAUGCUUGUCUCAAAGAUUAAGCCAUGCAAGUCUCAGUACAAGCCAAAUUAAGGCGAAACCGCAAAAGGCUCAUUAAAUCAGUUAUGGUUCCUUGGAUCGUACAAUCCUACUUGGAUAACUGUGGUAAUUCUAGAGCUAAUACAUGCAAACAGAAUCCUGACCAGAGAUGGAAGGGACGCUUUUAUUAGAUCAAAACCAAUCGGGGCUUCGGCUCCGCACUUCUUGGUGACUCUGAAUAACUUUCAGCUGAUCGCACGGUCCUCAGUACCGGCGACGCAUCCUUCAAAUGUCUGCCUUAUCAACUGUCGAUGGUAGGUUCUGCGCCUACCAUGGUUGUAACGGGUAACGGGGAAUCAGGGUUCGAUUCCGGAGAGGGAGCCUGAGAAACGGCUACCACAUCCAAGGAAGGCAGCAGGCGCGCAAAUUACCCACUCCCGGCACGGGGAGGUAGUGACGAAAAAUAACGAUACGGGACUCAUCCGAGGCCCCGUAAUCGGAAUGAGUAUACUCUAAAUCCUUGUACAAGUAUCAAUUGGAGGGCAAGUCUGGUGCCAGCAGCCGCGGUAAUUCCAGCUCCAAUAGCGUAUAUUAAAGUUGUUGCGGUUAAAAAGCUCGUAGUUGGAUCUGUGUCCUUCGACGCCGGUUCACCGCCUGUCGGUGCCAACUGGCGUUUUGCGGGACGUCCUGUCGGUGGUGGUCCGGGCCUUCGGAUUUGUGUAGGGUUCGCCCGAAGCAUGCCGUGGGUUCCGGCUGCCGAUUCAAUCCCGCCGCGGUGCUCUUGACUGAGUGUCGAGGUGGGCCGGCACGUUUACUUUGAACAAAUUAGAGUGCUUAAAGCAGGCUGAUUUCUGCCUGAAUACUGUGUGCAUGGAAUAAUGGAAUAGGACUUCGGUUCUAUUUUGUUGGUUUUAAGAAUCCGAAGUAAUGAUUAAUAGGGACAGGCGGGGGCAUUCGUAUUGCGACGUUAGAGGUGAAAUUCUUGGAUCGUCGCAAGACGUACCUAAGCGAAAGCAUUUGCCAAGUAUGUCCUCGU
rfam:Oryza sativa Indica Group scaffold001496 genomic scaffold, whole genome shotgun sequence.